GAUGAACGCUGGCGGCGUGCCUAAUACAUGCAAGUCGAGCGAACAGACAAGGAGCUUGCUCCUUUGACGUUAGCGGCGGACGGGUGAGUAACACGUGGAUAACCUACCUAUAAGACUGGGAUAACUUCGGGAAACCGGAGCUAAUACCGGAUAAUAUAUCGAACCGCAUGGUUCAAUAGUGAAAGACGGUUUUGCUGUCACUUAUAGAUGGACCCGCGCCGCAUUAGCUAGUUGGUAAGGUAACGGCUUACCAAGGCGACGAUGCGUAGCCGACCUGAGAGGGUGAUCGGCCACACUGGAACUGAGACACGGUCCAGACUCCUACGGGAGGCAGCAGUAGGGAAUCUUCCGCAAUGGGCGAAAGCCUGACGGAGCAACGCCGCGUGAGUGAUGAAGGUCUUCGGAUCGUAAAACUCUGUUAUUAGGGAAGAACAGACGUGUAAGUAACUCUGCACGUCUUGACGGUACCUAAUCAGAAAGCCACGGCUAACUACGUG
rnacentral:rRNA from 1 species